GAUGAAGAACGUAGCGAAAUGCGAUAAGUAGUGUGAAUUGCAGAAUUCAGUGAAUCAUCGAAUCUUUGAACGCACAUUGCGCCCCUUGGUAUUCCAUGGGGCAUGCCUGUUCGAGCGUCAUUUGUACUCUCAAGCCUUGCUUGGUGUUGGGUGCUUGUCUUUGCUUUGCGUAGACUCUCCCUAAAUACAUUGGCAGCCGAUAUAUUGGUUUGAAGCGCAGCACAAUUGCUAUUCAGGCUUGUUGUAUCAGCAUCCACAAAGAAUUAUAACACUUUUGACCUCGGAUCAGGUAGGGAUACCCGCUGAACUUAAGCAUAUCAAUAAGCGGAGA
rnacentral:misc_RNA from 1 species